rnacentral:rRNA from 1 species
AGUGAACGCUGGCGGUAGGCCUAACACAUGCAAGUCGAACGGCAGCACAGUAAGAGCUUGCUCUUACGGGUGGCGAGUGGCGGACGGGUGAGGCAUACAUCGGAAUCUACUUUUUCGUGGGGGAUAACGUAGGGAAAUUUACGCUAAUACCGCAUACGACCUACGGGUGAAAGCAGUGGAUCUUCGGACCUUGCGCGAUUGAAUGAGCCGAUGUCGGAUUAGCUAGUUGGCGGGGUAAAGGCCCACCAAGGCGACGAUCCGUAGCUGGUCUGAGAGGAUGAUCAGCCACACUGGAACUGAGACACGGUCCAGACUCCUACGGGAGGCAGCAGUAGGGAAUAUUGGACAAUGGGCGAAAGCCUGAUCCAGCCAUACCGCGUGGGUGAAGAAGGCCUUCGGGUUGUAAAGCCCUUUUGUUGGGAAAGAAAAGCAGCAGGUUAAUACCCCGCUGUUCUGACGGUACCCAAAGAAUAAGCACCGGCUAACUUCGUG